UACGUAGGGCGCAAGCGUUGUCCGGAAUUAUUGGGCGUAAAGAGCUCGUAGGCGGUCUGUCGCGUCGGCUGUGAAAACUCGGGGCUCAACUCCGAGCUUGCAGUCGAUACGGGCAGGCUAGAGUUCGGCAGGGGAGACUGGAAUUCCUGGUGUAGCGGUGGAAUGCGCAGAUAUCAGGAGGAACACCGGUGGCGAAGGCGGGGUCUCUGGGCAGUAACUGACGCUGAGGAGCGAAAGCGUGGGGAGCGAACAGG
rnacentral:rRNA from 1 species